rnacentral:ribozyme from 1 species
AAUCUGAUUCGUGGUUGUCCUUAUUUAUUUAUUUUCGGAUUGUUUUCCCAUUCGUUUCCCUGGUUUGUGGAAUAUUCUUUGUGGAACAUCGAGGAUGGUUUUUGAUGCUGCUAU